AUGGCGGAGCUGGUGGCCGCCAUGGCCAUCCGGCCACUGGUGUCCAUGCUGGUGAGCAAGGCGUCCAGCUCCCUCCUGGACGAGUACAAGGUGAUGGAGGGAAUGGAGGAGCAGCACAAGGUUCUCAAGCGCAAGCUUCCGGCCAUCCUCGACGUCAUGACCGACGCCAAGGAGCAGGCGACGGACCAUAGAGAUGGGCCAAAGCCUGGCUCCAGGAGCUCAAGACAGUGGCCUAUCAGGCAAAUGAAGUCUUGGACGAAUUCAAGUACGAAGCACUCCGCCGUGAAGCCAGGAAGAAGGGGCACUACAGAGAGCUUGGCUUCGAUGUAA
rnacentral:rRNA from 1 species